rnacentral:rRNA from 1 species
GACGAACGCUGGCGGCGUGCUUAACACAUGCAAGUCACGGGGGCCCGGUAGCAAUACCGGGCAACCGGCGAACGGGUGCGUAACACGUGAGCAAUCUGCCGAUUUCCGGGGGAUAGCCGGCCCAACGGCCGGGUAAUACCGCAUACGCUCUCUGGGGGACAUCCCCUGGUGAGGAAACCUCCGGGGAAAUCGAGGAGCUCGCGACCUAUCAGCUUGUUGGCGGGGUAACGGCCCACCAAGGCUACGACGGGUAGCUGGUCUGAGAGGAUGGCCAGCCACAUUGGGACUGCGACACGGCCCAGACUCCUACGGGAGGCAGCAGUGGGGAAUAUUGCGCAAUGGACGAAAGCCUGACGCAGCGACGCCGCGUGA